GCGAUUUCACUAAGGCUUCCAAACUCUUUUCUAAGGAAUUAAGACGUUUAUCCGAAUCAUUAAAACCAGGAGGAUUCAAAGGUGUUUGAAUUGGGUUAGGAAAUGAGUUCGGACUUUGGGUUGGGCAAGAGUUUGGGUUAGGCCUUUGAAAAUUUGUUUGAGGAGUUUGAAAAGAAGUUGGGCCUUGAUUUUGAAAAAUUUGACCUUGGGUCCAUGAGAAAUUUGGGUGAUUUCU
rnacentral:lncRNA from 1 species